rnacentral:lncRNA from 1 species
UACAAAUCCAUAAACAAAAGCUAUCAAGAACUGGUGUCACAAUCUCACAUACUGUCUAGGAAUACUACAAAUAGGGGUCUGAAAGAUAAAUACAAAGUUGUUUCUGAAAUACAUAAAAGAAACAUUAUGCAAAGAUAGAAGGAGAUGCCAAGGCCUGCGGACGCCUGCAGGACUACCUCGGGUCGCCUGAUGGAUUGAAGGCAGCAACUUCACUAUGGUCCAAAUGUUGCAGCACCAGGAUCUACACACAGUACAGAGUGUAGUAUCAGCACAACCGACCUCAUGUGCUCGCAAGUGCCUAGCCUAACCUCGGUGAAGUAGUGACGAGGCUAGGACAAGACUACCAAAUAAACCUAUGCAGUUAUAUCAUAUACAGACAAAUCUUAGUAAAGACGUGAAAAGAACACGAAAAUUGAACUGUAAACAAGAAUAAGGAAAUCAAAGACAAGUGCACGACAUCACCCUUUGUGCUUUUACUCUCGUCCUCACCAUAAGAAUCAAUAUAAUCGGUACGGCAUCACCCUUCGUGCAUUAACACUCUCAAAAUCAUGCACGACAUCACCCUUCAUGCUUUUACACUCUUCCUCACCCAAGCAACAAACACAAAGCAAUUUGGGAAAGGGAAUCAAUAAUAUCACAAUAAGAUCUAGGCAAGGGAACAAUAGCAUAACGACAAUAUCCCGGCAAGGGAAAUAAUAUCAUGAGUAAUAACAUCCCGGCAAGGGAGAUAAUAUCAAAAGUAAUAACAUCCCGACAAGGGAGACAAUAUCAUAAACCUUUUCUCUUUUCCACAAUUACUUCACAACUCAAUUCUCAACUUGAGCCAACACUCUACAAUGUUUAAUUACCAAUAAAACUUCCACAAGCCUUGUUCAACAAUAGAAUUCAUCAUAUAAAGCAUGAACAAUACGAAACAGAGUCACAUUAAUCAUAGUAUAAGACUCACAGGCAUGCUUGACACUGACGUAUAGAUACUCGUCACCACACUUAUACGUCGUACUCAACAAUUAACACUUAGCAAAUAAGACACAACUUCUAAUCCCUCAAGCUAAGGUUAGACCAAACACUUACCUCAAUGUUACGAACACAAUUCAAGCCUCAACUACCUAUUUACCUCUUGUUUCCACCACCAAUUCGCUUAUAUCUAGCCACAAUUUACUUAACGAUAUCAAUAAAUGCUAAAUGAAUCAAUUCUAAUGCAUGAAAAUAGGUUUUCUAAAGAUUUCCCCAAAAGGUCAAAAACGACCCCGAGCCCACAUGGUCAAAACACGAGGUUCGAACCAAAAUCCGAUUACCCAUUCACCCACGAACUAAAAUAUAUAAUUUGUUUUGAAAUCAGACCUCAAAUAGAGGUCCAAAUCGCUAAAAUUUGAAAAUCUUAAGUUCUACCCAAAACACCCAAUUUCCCCCGUGAAAACCCUUGAUUUUGAGUUGAAAUCAUGUAAAACUAUGUUAUGGAUUGAAGAAAAUGAGUUAUAAAUGACUUACAAUUGAUUUGGGGAAGAACUAUUCUUUAGAAAAUCGCCCAAGAGAGUUUAGGAUUUGAGAGAGUUUGAAAAAUGAAAAAAAAAUGUGUCUACGUACUAAUUCACUGGUCGCAGAUGUCGUAAUUGCGACUAGGGUUCGCAAUUGUGAACCCCUUCAGGACCUAUUGGAUUUGCAUUUGCGAGAAAUCAGUCGUAUUUGCGACAUCGCAUUUGCGAUAGAAGUGUCGCAUUUGCGACCAAGGCCUGCCCAGGCUAGGUUCGCAUUUGUGACACCUGGGUCGCAAUUCCCAUGCCUGAGGACUUUGCAAUUGCAAAGCCUAAUCUCGCAAUUGCGAGAUCAGAGGCCUAUUCAGAGGCCUGCGCAAAAUAUCAGAUACCAGCAACUUUUUCCUAAGUCCAAUUUCAUUCUAUGGCCUAUCCAAUACUCACCCGAGCCCUCGGGGCUCCAAACCAAACAUGCACGCAAGUCCAAAAAUAUCAUACAGACAUGCUCGCGCAAUCAAAUCAUCAAAAUAACAUCAACAACUAUGAAUUAAAUCUCAAAUUUAUGAAAUCAUUCAAGAAGAUCAAAAAUACUAUUUUCUCAACUAUAGGUCCGUUUUAUACCAAACCAACUCCGAUCUUUACCAAAUUUUACAGAUUCAUCUUAAUUAUUAUUUCAAACAGGUAUCGGGUUCCGCAACUAAGAUAAGGCCCGAUACCAUCAAGAAAAUGCAUCAAUUCACUUCUAAAAACCUUUAUAUUUUUCAGAAAAUAAUUUUCUUUCAAAAAUUUAAUUCUCGGGCUUGGGACCUCGGAAUUCGAUUGUGGGCAAAUACCAAGUCCCAAAUUUUACUACGGACCCUACGAGACCGUCGGAUCACGGGUCCGGGUCCGUUUACCAAGAACAUUGACAAAAGUCAACUUUAUUUAAUUUUAAAAGUCAAUUUCCUUAUUUUACUUAGUUUUCACAUAAAAGCUUUCCGGAAACGCACCAGGACUGUGCACGCAAAUCGAGGUGAGACAAAAAAGAGGUUUUUAAGGCCUCGAAACAUAGAAUUUACUUUCAAAACGAGUAUUUUCCUUCAUCUCUUUUUCUUCUAAUUAUCACUCUUUUCCUUCCUCUCAUUUCUCACAUCCCAUAAUUUCACCUCUCUUUUUUUCUUUUAUUUUUUCCCUUUUUAUUUUAACUUUAAAAAAAUGAUUCGAUCGAACCCUAUGUAGGUUGCCUACGUAUCAUGAUGCCGCAUAAAUCAGAUCUUUGGGUAGUUCGGAAAAAAUCGAGAAUAGACUAAAUAAACUAACGUUCUCUUCUUCUUCUUUUUCUGGUUUGUUUUUUCUUCUUUACCUUAAUGACUACUCUAAUGAGAAAAAAAAAAGAAAAUCUCUCUAAUUUUAUAGACUUAACGUUCUAUAAUCUAUUCUAAAUUCAACGAGCAUAUUUGUUUUUUGAAACACAUACUCUAUGAAAAAUAUUAAGGAAAAUAACCUAGACGAGAAAAAUAUUUUUGAUUCUUUUUUUAUGGAGGAAAUCUAAAGAAUAAUCCAAAUAAAAAUAUUUUGAAUUUUCAUUUGAUAUCCUGAAAAAAGAUUUCGAAACGAGAAAUAAAAAAAAUAAAAAAAAUAUAUUUUUGGAUUUCAGUUUUUGAUUACCUAAGGGAGAAACUCUAAAGAUAAAUAAAAGAUAAAGUAUGUUUUUUUCUUCUAUAUAUAAUGUCCAAAAGUUCUAGUGAAAAUAAAAAGAAUAUAUUUUUUAUUUUUUUUAUUAAUUUCCCAAAGAAGAACCUCAAAAGGAAAAUCUUUUGGAUUUUUGGAAUUAAUAUCUUAAAAAAAAAACUUCUAAAGAGGUAUCAAAAGAAAUUUUUUUGUUUGAAUUUUUAGUCUCAAUAUACUAAAGAAAAUAUAAAAGCAAUUUUUAUUGAGUUCUAGAUAUUAAUUUCCUAAAUGAAAACCACCUCAAAAGAAAAUUAGGGGAUUUUUUCAAAUUUAAGUGACAAAAUCGUAACGGGAUUACUUUGUUCAGAUUCAGAGUCGCCACUUGAGAUAAUUUAUGGUGUCUCAAGUCACCGGUUUAAAAUCCCAAAUCGAGGAAGUUUGACUCUGUUUUACAGUCCGCGAAACACAGAAAUCUGGGUAAGGAAUGUUGUUAACUCGAGAGAAGGUGUUAGACAUUCUCAGGUUCCGUGGUUUUAGCCCUGUCACUCAACUAUUAUUAAUUGGCCUAAUUAUCUAAUUAAUAACAUAUUUUAUACCUAUUAUUCAGUUUUAACCUUUUAAAUCACUUUUAAUUAUCUAUGGAAUUAUUUUUGGAACAAGUUACGAUUGUCGUACACUUGUUUGUUUUUGUACAUGUUGUGAAUCGUGUCACAAGAACCGUACCCACAAUCUACAACACGUGUAUUUUAUUAAGGUUUGAAGUUGUGGUCGGGUCACAUGAAAUGUGCACCCGAAUUUGGGAAUUACAUAUUGUAACCAUGCCACGAGAACCGUACUCAUAGUCACGAUGAUUCAUUAUUAAUCGUGCCGAAAAGCAAGCUACGAGGUUUAUGAAUUAUUUUCUAAACUACUUUGAGAUUACCCGUGAAAGGCCUGCGAUUAUGGAGCACUUUUGCUAAAAGAGAUUUCAUGCUCAUAUCCUUUUAACUUCUCCUUUUAUUAGACCGAGCCCGAUACAUAAAGCAUGUAGACAAAUCAGUUGCUAAUAGGCUUCGGUCUCUCCCCCACUCCUAUGGCCCCAACAAUCAGUCAAACGAUUUUAACAAAAAUCAAAUGAGCAAACAGUAACAAUCAAGAGAAAGAAAUAAAGACCUAAUUAAUUAGACUACAAAGAAAGAAAGACACAGAAAAUUGAUUCAAGCCUCACAAGAGCUGCUACUACCCCAUUUGCUAACCCAAAAGCCAAUUUUCAAACUAAAACUUAAAAAUAUGUGUAUUAACCUCAAACCCCAUUCGAUCAAAUUUUAGUUAUGUCUUAUUUCCACAAACUAAUCACACCACUCCAUUGUAAAUGUUAAACCAAAUCCAUUAGUUCCGAUAAAUAUCCAAACGCAAAGCGCACCUAAAGAGGCAAAGCAGGCAAUUUGUGAGUUACAAUAAGCCAAACAAGACCAUAUUCGACCAAAUUUUGAAUAACACCAAUGAAUAUAACAACCCAUAUGGGCAAAACUUCACAUAAGAUACCAGCAAGGAAUCCAAAAGCAUCACCAAAAUCCAUCCGAACAAAUUAAACUAAACAACAACAAUAAAAUGACAUUCAAAAACAGAGCAUUGAUAGCUUAACAAAAUUAUAAAAGCAUGAUGUUAAGAAAACAAGAAGUAGAAGGACAUGAGAGAUCGACCUCAAUGAAUCUGAAGCUUAAUUUUAUGGCAAUUUUGAAACACAAGCGUCGGAACCUCGAACAAGAUUUUUGCCAAAAAUUCUCACUGAACACUAACUUGAUGGGUUGAAAAUAGCAUACAAUGGAGAUUAACGAUAAUGAAAGAUGACACAAGGGACAUAAACCAAUGGCUUGAAGUUUUCGAUGGCUCGACCACUGAUUACGGGGACAAUAGUAUUACGGUGGGUUUCAAUGGAUUUUGUGUAGGAGCUCGAUGGAAAUAGGGACGAUGGGCUAGUGGAUCUCUGUGUUUGAAUUCGAUAGGAAGAUGUCUUGAUGGCAGGUAGAGACGCUGCUUAGUGGUGAAGGGGUGGGGUCGCGACGGCGGUUGGUGGCUGAUGUUUGGUGGUGUGAAGUGAAGAAGCAGCAGCGGCUGCUUAUUGUUGGCUGCUGAAAAUCAAAAGAAGAAGAAGGUCCAGCCUUCUUCUCUUCUGAUGUGUGUGUCUUCAGUGAUGGGGAUGCAGACAGAGUUGCUUCUCUAUUGAAGACGUUCAGUGGGGUUUUCUUUGGUUUUUUGUGGCUGAUCUUCUGAAGGUUAGAGAUGACAGCCUUUUGUGUUUUUGAGGGUCUCUAGUUUAGGGAAAGUCCAAAAAUGGUUGAAGCUGAG